GUCUAUAGCCAUACUACCCCCUUAAAUGUGCCCAAUCUUUCUUAAUCUUGGAAGCUAAGCAGAUCAGGCCUGGUCAGUAUUUGGAUGGGAGACUGCCUGGAGAUUCUGGGUUCUGUAGGCU
ensembl:rRNA 5S_rRNA 5S ribosomal RNA